CUUUAAGAAGCAGCAGCAUCUACUCAACCAAUCAUAUUUCUUCUCUCUUUUCUCUAUGAUGUCAUUCUUACACAACAAUGCUGGUUGGUAAAUGAGGUCAUCACAGUAACUUUGAAUCUACGCAUUUCUAGCUGACAGUUGGAGCUGGAAGAAGGCCACACACAGCUGACCUCAAUGUUAUGUCUGCUCGUCAGCCUCCAUCUCCAUAAGAUGCAAUAGACUGACAGGUGGAUUUAAACACAGAGAAAGCCAAGCAACCACUGAAGAAAGGUAGGAAAUUGCCUAGUCUAUUAAAGAACAGUAAUCGAUUGUUCAUCACACGCUAGUUGACACAGGUUGGACCACGGAGUUUGGACCUUGUGUUGAAAACGUGUUAAAAGAAUAGCACCUCGGAACCAGAUUGUAGAAAUUCUGAUGUCACUUCUGCAUCUGGCAACUGGAGGCAAGACACAUUUGUAUACAGUGGUACCUUGGCUCUCAAAACGCCUUGGUACUCAAACACCUUGGUUCCCAAGCGCCGAAAACCCAGAAGUAAGUGUUAUGGUUUUCGAAUGUUUUUUGGAAGCUGAAUGUCCGAUGCGGCUGUCGGCUAUUGUUUCCAGGGCGCCUGCACCAAUCAGAAGCUGUGCCUUGGUUUUUGAACAUUUCAGAAGUCAAGCAGACUUCCGGAAUGGAUUAAGCUUGGUGCUUUUGUUUUUGCUAUUUAUUUUGCAUUUCUGUUUUUGAGGCUUUUUCAGUUACCAUAAUUUGCUUUUGUGACUGUGUGGAACCCAGUUCAGCUACUUAUUGAUUGAUUGUGUGACUGUGGAAAUGGAUAAAAGCCCCCCAUCCAAACAAUGACUAUCAACAGUGCAGGUAAGAAUUUUUUAUUUUAUUUUUAUCAUCCACAAUACUGUCUUAUUUAUUUUAUAGUACAGUAAAUUGAUUAUUGCUUUUAUUUUAGGGAUUAAUGGUCUCGUUAGAUAGUAAAAAUCAUCCUCCAUUGCUUUCCUAUAUCUUGCUUUUUAUUGCCCCCUGACUUCCCCUGAGUCUUGAAACCGUAGAGAUCACACACACCAGAGGCUCUGGGCACUGUUCU